rnacentral:rRNA from 1 species
AGAGUUUGAUCAUGGCUCAGAAUCAACGCUGGCGGCGUGCCUCAGACAUGCAAGUCGAACGAUUAAAGCUCUCUUCGGAGAGUGUAUAGAGUGGCGCACGGGUGAGUAACACGUAAGUAAUCUACCUUCGAGUGGGGAAUAACGUCCGGAAACGGACGCUAAUACCGCAUAAUGCAGCGGCAUCGUAAGAUGACAGUUGUUAAAGGAAUUUAUUUCGCUUGAAGAGGAGCUUGCGGCAGAUUAGCUAGUUGGUAAGGUAAUGGCUUACCAAGGCUACGAUCUGUAACCGGUCUUAGAGGACGGUCGGUCACACUGACACUGAAUAACGGGUCAGACUCCUACGGGAGGCAGCAGUCGGGAAUUUUGGGCAAUGGGCGAAAGCCUGACCCAGCAACGCCGCGUGAAGGAUGAAGUAUUUCGGUAUGUAAACUUCGAAAGAAUAGGAAGAAUAAAUGACGGUACUAUUUAUAAGGUCCGGCUAACUACGUGCCAGCAGCCGCGGUAAUACGUAGGGACCAAGCGUUGUUCGGAUUUACUGGGCGUAAAGGGCGCGUAGGCGGCGUGACAAGUCACUUGUGAAAUCUCUGAGCUUAACUCAGAACGGCCAAGUGAAACUGUUGUGCUAGAGUGCAGAAGGGGCAAUCGGAAUUCUUGGUGUAGCGGUGAAAUGCGUAGAUAUCAAGAGGAACACCUGAGGUGAAGACGGGUUGCUGGGCUGACACUGACGCUGAGGCGCGAAAGCUAG